CGAGGUGCUUUUGUAGCAAUACGAGAGUAUCCUAGUGGCGAACGGGUGAGUAACGCGUUGGUGACCUACCCCAAAGUGUGGGAUAACAGUCCGAAAGGAUUGCUAAUACCGCAUGUGGUCCUCGGGUUUAGAAACCGGUGACUAAAGGAGCGAUUCGCUUUGGGAGGGACCUGCGUCCCAUCAGCUAGUUGGUGAGGUAACGGCUCACCAAGGCGACGACGGGUAGGGGACCUGAGAGGGUGGCCCCCCACAAUGGAACUGAAACACGGUCCAUACACCUACGGGUGGCAGCAGUAGGGAAUAUUGCACAAUGGGCGAAAGCCUGAUGCAGCAACGCCGCGUGCACGAUGAAGGCCUUCGGGUCGUAAAGUGCUUUUCUGCGAGAUGAGAAAGGACAGUAUCGUAGGAAUAAGUCUCGGCUAACUACGUGCCAGCAGCCGCGGUAAAACGUAGGAGGCGAGCGUUAUCCGGAUUCACUGGGCGUAAAGCGCGUGCAGGUGGUUCGGUAAGUUGGGCGUGAAAUCUCCCGGCUCAACUGGGAGAGGUCGUCCAAUACUACCGAACUUGAGAGCAGAAGAGGAAGAUGGAAUUCCCGGUGUAGUGGUGAAAUGCGUAGAUAUCGGGAGGAACACCAGUGGCGAAGGCGAUCUUCUGGUCUGUUUCUGACACUCAGACGCGACAGCUAGGGUAGUAAACGGGAUUAGAGACCCCGGUAAUCCUAGCCGUAAACGAUGUGAACUUGGCGUUGGUGGGUUAAACUCCAUCAGUGCCGCAGCAAACGCGAUAAGUUCACCGCCUGGG
rnacentral:rRNA from 1 species